CCAAGUACAGUGGCUCAUGCCUGUAACCGCAGCACUUUGGGACGAUCACUUGAGCCCAAGAGUUCGAGACCAGCCUGGGUAACAUAGUGAGACCUCCCCAUCUUUUUUAAAAAACAAAACCAAACCAGGCCAGGUGCGGUGACUCAUGCCUGUAAUCCCAGCACUUUGGGAGGCUGAAGCAGGUGGAUCACCUGAGGUCGGGAGUUUGAGACCAGCCUGACCAACAUGGAGAAACCCUAUCUCUACUAAAAGUACAAAAUUAGCCAGGCGUGGUGGCAUAUGCCUGUAAUCCCAGCUACUUGGGAGGCUGAGGCAGGAGAAUCGCUUGAGUCCGGGAGGUGGGGGUUGCGGUGAGCCGAGAUCGCACCACUGCACUCCAGCCUGGGCAACGAGAGUGAAACACCAUCUCAAAAAACAAAAACAAAAAUAAAAAACCCUUCAAACAAAACAAAAAGGUAUGGACAAGUGACAGGCUUUGCAGAGACCAUAAUAAUGACCCCAUGGACCGAGGAGUGUGAUAAAUGCAGCUGGCUGCAGCUGAGGUCCAAAAAGAAAGACACCAACCCUACCCCGAAGGGCCUAGCCCAUGACAAGUGCCCACAGGUGGGGCUCUGGUGAAGGUCCCAUCAAGAAUGCUGCAGGUGGGCCAAGGCACGGUGGCUCACGCCUGUAAUCCCAGCACUUUGGGAGGCCGAGGCGGGCAGAUCACGAGGUCAGGAGUUUGAGACCAGCCUGACCAACAUAGUGAAACCCUGUCUCUAGUAAAACCCUGUCUCUAGUAAAAAUACAAAAAAAUUAGCCGGGUGUGGUGGUGGGCACCUGUAAUCCCAGCUACUCGGAGGCUGAGGCAGAAGAAUCGCUUGAACCCAGGAGGCGGAGGCUGCAGUGAGCCAAGAUCUCAUCAUUGCACUCCAGCUGGGUGAUAGAGCGAGACUCCAUCUCAAAAAAAAAAAAUAGAAUGUUGCAGGUGGUUCCUGUCUGCCUCACUUCACAGAGAAGGCUGAGACUCGCCCAAGGUCACGUGACUAGGAGGUGUCAGAGUCAGAGAUUGUUCCAGGGCAGCUCAAUUGCCCACCACCCUGGGGCCCCUGAUACCAGCAGCCACCUUCCUGAGCAUCCCCCAGGAGAACGGGACUGAGGAGGUUCAGGCAGGGAGACUGGGAUGUGAGUCUAGGCAGGACUUAGGGCCCACCCAGGGCAGGGCCCCACCGCGGCUUUGGCCCGGCCACCUGUGCUGGAAGAAGCUCUCGAGGGCCCGGCAGACCCCAUAGCGCUCAGGAGGUGUGAGUAGGCGCUCCGGCCGCUCCUCGCUGCGGCUCCGGCGCAGUCGCUGCGCGCCCUGG
rnacentral:lncRNA from 10 species